GCGAAGGUGGCGGAAUUGGUAGACGCGCUAGCUUCAGGUGUUAGUGUCCUUACGGACGUGGGCGUUCAAGUCCCCCCCCUCGCACCA
rnacentral:tRNA from 1 species